rnacentral:sRNA from 1 species
AUUCUGCCCAUGCGGGGAAGGAUGAGAAGCUUCGACUAAGGUUCGGCUCGAGCGUCAGCGAGAGAGCGUUGCCGCAGGCAACGACCCGAAGGGCGA